GUCUACAGCCAUAGCACCCAGAUCAUGCCUGAUCUUGUCUGAUCUCAGAAGGAGUCAUGGCUGGGCCUGGUUAGUACUUGCAUGGGAGAGACCAUGCUUAGGGACUGGUAAGAUGACUCUGUGGGUA
rnacentral:rRNA from 1 species